rnacentral:lncRNA from 10 species
CUCUACAGAGGGAACCUGGUAUGCUAAGCCACAGCUCAGGAGAGCUGCAGCUGAAUGGAAACUAAGCCAGCCAGAGGUACCGCGGAGCCAAGCCCGGAGCCUCGGGGAGCCGCCAGCGAGCGCAGACUGGGAGGGAGCCGGCCGGGCUCCCCGCCACCCCUUCCUCCGCGCGCCAAGACCUGUCAGUUUCACCCAGCCCGGCUUCCCUGGAAAGGCGGGAUCCCUCUGCAGAUUUCCAGGCUCUUGGAAGAGGACCGGCGCGUCUAUUAAACCCGAGUCGCUCCACGGGCUCUCCGCCCAGAGCACAAGCUGCCUUCCCCCGGGAACUGGACCUCGGCAGCGGCCUGCGCAGAGCCGGGCUCCGGGGCCCUGGCCGCUCUCGGGAAGGCCCCGCGGGUUCCCACCAGGCCAGAGGGAGAACCACCAGGAGGCCGCGCGCGCGCACACGCCGGGCGCCCUCCUCGUGCCGAGGUGGAAAGAGCCUGCGACAGGCAGGCCCAGGUUGUCAUUUAGGCUCCGCCACUUUCCGCUCGUGUCCUUGGGCAAGUUACUUGACGCUUCCGAGCCCUAUUUUUUUUCUCAUUUUUAAGAUGGAGAAAAUGCCAUCCACAUCUCAGGGUCAAGGUGAGGAUUAUAAAUAAAAUAACGUGUGUGAAAGUGCCUGGCAUAGCAGCCGGCACGUGGUGUGUGCUCAAUAAAAAUGUUAGUUCAUCCACUCGGGAGGAAGCUGCUUUGCCGGCGCGUCAUGACGGAUCCAGGAGCCGGCCAACCGUGCUCUAUGAUCGUGACCGGGCUAUGGCCAUCGGUGAACGCUGGUCAUAAGCGAUUUGUGUCAUCGUAGUGCCUGACGCCGGGAGACAAGCUUGGGGAAAUGCCUUUUUUCUGAAACAUUUCCUAUGAAAUAGUUUGGCCCCACGCCCACUAACUAAAGAAUGAGGCUGGCAGGGCGUGGUGGCUCAUGCCUGUAGUCCCAACACUUUGGGAGGCCGAGGCGGGCAGAUCAGCUGAGGUCGAGAGUUCUAGAACAGCCUGACCAACAUGGAGAAACCCCGUCUCUACUAAAAAUACAAAAUUAGCCGGGCGUGAUGGCGCAUGCCUGUAAUCCCAACUACUUACUCUUGAGGCUGAGGCUGACGCAGGAGAAUCGCUUGAACCCGGGAGGCGGAGGUUGCCGUGAACCAAGAUUGUGCCAUUGCACUCCAGCAUGGGCAACAAGAGUGAAACUCCGUCUCAAAAAUUAAUUAAUUAAUUUAAUAAAAAUAAAAAGAAGGAC